GAUGAACGCUGGCGGCGUGCCUAAUACAUGCAAGUCGAGCGAACGGACGAGAAGCUUGCUUCUCUGAUGUUAGCGACGGACGGGUGAGUAACACGUGGAUAACCUACCUAUAAGACUGGGAUAACUUCGGGAAACCGGAGCUAAUACCGGAUAAUAUUUUGAACCGCAUGGUUCAAAAGUGAAAGACGGUCUUGCUGUCACUUAUAGAUGGAUCCGCGCUGCAUUAGCUAGUUGGUAAGGUAACGGCUUACCAAGGCAACGAUGCAUAGCCGACCUGAGAGGGUGAUCGGCCACACUGGAACUGAGACACGGUCCAGACUCCUACGGGAGGCAGCAGUAGGGAAUCUUCCGCAAAGGGCGAAAGCCUGACGGAGCAACGCCGCGUGAGUGAUGAAGGUCUUCGGAUCGUAAAACUCUGUUAUUAGGGAAGAACAUAUGUGUAAGUAACUGUGCACAUCUUGACGGUACCUAAUCAGAAAGCCACGGCUAACUACGUG
rnacentral:rRNA from 1 species